rnacentral:lncRNA from 1 species
CUGGCUGAAACAUGCCACAUAAUUAGAUUUUCUUUUUCUUUACCUUUUCUUUCUUAUUUUUAUAAGAGGCCCGGAAUUAGCCUCUUCGACUGGGGCGGAGUAGCUGGGGUGUGGGAAAGGAACACCUUCAUACAACUUCCAGCUUUCAGCCCCUUGGAGAGAUUUCCAAAUUCCCCAGAGCCUCUAGGACUUCCUUUCCUCGAUCUCUCGGCCACCUCCUCCUCCUUCUCCGAUCUGUUUUUUUUUCCCUCCUCCCACUGUCUUCUCUAUGGUUUAAUCAAAGUUCAGCGACUCCACUUGCCUCUCCUCUCAUUUCUUUCGGAAAGGGGAAACCAGACGACCCAGCGGCCACGGGACGAGUCGCCCCAACUCAACCCCAGCAGGACGCUGGAGGGGCCUCCCUUGCCCACCUCUCUUCGCUGGCACUGGCCUCCUGCACCCGGGUCUGCAGUCCCUCCGCCAUCUCACAAGUGUGCAGCCGCUAGGCCUGGGGGAUCCGAAUGACUGGGGCUGGAUAGGAAUGCCUUCGUGUUUCCCAAGACCCCCGGGCCUGCUCCACAAAGUUUGAAGGGUGGGUACACCCCGACCCAGGCAAGUUACUCCCCCAAACCCAUGACUGACUAAUCUGAUAUGACAAAAGCCCAUGAUGGAUUUGGUAUAUGUUAAUUCACAAUGCCCUUUCCUCCAGAAUUUAACUAUAAGUUAAUACACACCGGAAACCACGCGCAUGCACGCUCCUUAAUGGGCUUAGGUAUUAGCGAGUCCUAACGAUGCAUACAAAUGUGCUCUGCGCUCUGUAGACCCCUCAAGAUUUAUGGGCCUUGAGCUCUCUGAAGCUGUAAACAAGGAGAAAAAAAAAAGAGAAAGCGAAAGCGACUGGGGGGAAGAGACAGAGGCCUGACUCGCCCCUCCAGGUUUUGGAGAGAAGGGAUUCUUUAUGUAUUUUCCUUUCCUUGCAAGCUCGGAGCUCAGAGAUGCCCGGGAAGACGGGGGGCCCGAAUGGAAGCAGAAAAACACUUAUGGCCGCUGGGAAGUUGGGAGAGCCAGGCUGGGACUCCGGCAGGCCCAGGGAAAGUUCCCCUUCUAGGCUCUUUAUUAAAAAAUUUAAAAGGAGGAGUUGAGGCGCCUUGAAUUUUCCUUCGCGAGUUUGGAGACCAGCCGAUUUUUCACGAAGCAAGCAAAGACCGCGGUCCCGGAUCCUGCAACAUAUACCUCAUUUUCUCCAGGUACAGUUUUCUGGUCAUUUAAUUGGUUUGUUUUCUUGGGGGAGAUGGGAAUCACAGGCGUAGAGAUAGUAAGUUGGCUAGAGAGGAAGCCACCCCACAGUUUCGGGUCUAACGAAAUCCCUCCUUUAAAAACAUUUGUACCCCCAAUAAAAAUAAAAUUAAAGAGGAAUAUAGAAACACAAAUUAGCCAACUUUUUUAAAAGAGAAAAAAGAAAAGAAAAUCAUCGUAACAGAUGAGCGUGAGAACUUCUAAAAAAUUUGUCACGAACCCUUUCAGAGGUCUGGAUUCUUUUUCAGUAGCCGGUGACCCAUUUGGUCUGAAAAGAGAAAUACACUAUCCACUGAGUCACUUAUUUAAAGCCAGCACACACACACACACACACACACACGCACACACACACACACACACACACACACACGCACAUUCAGAAAGCCCUGGGUGCCCUCGCAUUUGAAAACAACACCGGGUGGAGGACGCUGCGAUACCUAAUUGGACAAAACAGCAAUAAAAUAAGACCAGUGGAAGUGCUGAGCACAGGGCGCAGGGCUAGGGCCCAGGUUUUGUGUUCCAGGCCGAGGGCGAGGCAGCGGCCCCGGGAGAUGGGGCGCCGGGCAGUCAGGCACCGGCUGGCGACUCUGCUCGGCCUCCGCAGCCCGGCCUGCAGCCCCUUACCCCCAGCCUCUGGGCCUCGUGGGCUCUCUACGCUCCGACGCCUGUUCGGGGCUUCCCUGUUGAGAGGGUUUUAGGCCGAAGGGCUGAACGACUCAAGCCAGACUCUGCUUUUUCAUUUUUCUCCCUUAGGCCUCUCCACUUGCCCGAGCUCUCAGCCACCAGGAGACAGACGGAAGGGGCUUCUGGGCUGUGUUGGGAGCGGGCAUUGUCCCCUACCCACUCCUGCACAGUUUCCCAAAGUCCAGCCACCUCCGACCCUCCUUGGGGGAAAAAAUACCAGUACCCAGACACCUCUGCACCCUGUUAUAUGACUGGGCUUGCUUCAGGAAUAUCUUACAAAGAAGAAGGAGGAGGAGGAGGAACGGCUUGGAGUCAUGUUUACAUCUAGUUCUACUGAUCCGUUCACAUCUGGAGAGUUUAUUUAUAACUCCCUCUAUAACUCUCUGUUUGGAGGCACUGGUGGCUCUACUGACAGACUGAUGUCUAGGAAAUAUUGCUCUAUGUCUAAUGGUACCUAAAUGUGCUGUGGUUGUAUUUACAGAUUUACGUUUGAGGGAAAUAUAAUUAUUUCCAUUGUA